GAUGAAGAACGUAGCGAAAUACGAUAAUUAAUGUGAAUUGCAGAAUUCCGUGAAUCAUCGAGCCUUUGAACGCACAUUGCGCCUCAUGGCAUUCCGUGAGGCAUGCCCAUCUCAGCGUUAGAAAAUAUUCUCAAAUUUUAGUUUUGUGCUAAAAUUUGGAUCAUGUCAAAGAAGCUAUUACUAUUAUUGUGAUCGCUCUUUGGAAAUUGAUAGGUCUUUGAGUUGCUACUCAUAGAACGUGAUGAAUCUUUCUUCGUUCUAUUGUAAUUCACUCUGGUAGUCCUAAAACUUGUAUGCCUGUGGCAUAUCUUGUAAUUUGACCUGAGAUUGGGUAGGGAUACCCGCUGAACUUAAGCAUAUCAAUAAGCGGAGGA
rnacentral:misc_RNA from 1 species